UACGGAGGGGGCUAGCGUUGUUCGGAAUUACUGGGCGUAAAGCGCGCGUAGGCGGACCUGCAAGUCGGGGGUGAAAGCCCGAGGCUCAACCUCGGAACUGCCUUCGAUACUGCGGGUCUCGAGUCCGGGAGAGGUGAGUGGAAUUCCUAGUGUAGAGGUGAAAUUCGUAGAUAUCUGGAGGAACACCGGUGGCGAAGGCGGCAUCCUGGACCGGCAUUGACGCUGAGGCGCGAAAGCCAGGGGAGCAAACGGG
rnacentral:rRNA from 1 species